GGCCGAUGUGGCGCGGUGGUGGUGCGACUGCCUGCGUCGCAGAAGGUCCCGGGUCCCAUUCCCGGUGGGUCA